rnacentral:snRNA from 1 species
GUGCUCGCUUCGGCAGCACAUAUACUAAAAUUGGAACGAUACAGAGAAGAUUAGCAUGGCCCCUGCGCAAGGAUAACAUUUAUAAAAAUUUAAAUAUAAUUUA